GAAACUAACAUGUAAACGUCAACUGACAUGUACGUUAGGAGAAACUAGCUAGCUAAAGUGUUUAAAAAGCAACAAAAGCUAAUUUAUACGUCGUGUAGCGAGCAAUUUAGAGGGUUAUUAGUAUUGUUCGGUUAGCUUAAGUUUAGCUAACGUUAGCUAGUUUACACUGUGGAUGUUUUACGUCCAACUCUUUUCAAUAUAAAUGAGCAACUAGCCAGCUAAACUGUUGAAAAAGCUAAUUUACACCAUUUAUUUCGUGUAGACAACUUGUUAGCGAGCAAUUUAGAGGUUUAUUAGUCUUGUUAGGUUAGCUUAAAGUUAGCUAACGUUAACUAGUUUACACUAUGGAUGUUUUACGUCCAGCUCUUAUAAAUAUACAUGGAAGAAUAUACCGAAGGAAUGUCAUUAAGGAAGAACAUUAUGAGGAAGAGGAAGAUAUGUCUUACAUGGGACCACCAGAGAGUGAAGACUUUGCAGAAGAUGAAUCCUGUGAUGCCAACUUCAUUGAGCAGACUGAUAAGGGAUACCGCUGUGCCAUUGAUGUGCCAAGUGUCCUUUACAAAUACAUCAUUGGGAAAAAAGGAGAGACACGCAGACGCCUGGAGUUUGAUACAAAGACAUCUAUCAGCAUCCCCAAACAAGGAGUGGAAGGACAGAUAGUUAUCACAGGUUCCCACAAAUCUGCGGUCUCAUCUGCAGUCACACGAGUCGAGGUCCUCAUUGAGAGUUUCCGGAAGAAGCAGCCUUUCACGCACUUCCUGUCAUUCCCUCUGAACGAUCCCAAAAUUCAAGAAGGAUUCCUGAGCUUUAAAGACGAGGUGUUGAAGCAGUGCUCACAGGAUCAUGGAGUAGAUGGAAGCAUCUUUCAGAACGCCGCAAAGCUUCACCUGACCAUCGGCACCCUGGCUCUGUUGAAUGACACAGAAGUGAGAAAAGCAUGUGAACACCUUCAGGAGUGUCAAAAUGUCAUCAGGGACAUCACAGAAGGGAAUCCACUGCAGGUGGAGGUGACGGGUAUAGAGUACAUGAACGAUGACCCAGCCAUGGUGGACGUCUUGUAUGCCAAAGUCAAUGUGAAAGACAAGUCAGACAAGCUGCAGGUGAUUGCAGACCAGCUGGUAGAGCACUUUGUCUCAGCGGGGCUGAUGGUCCGAGAUUGGGACAAGGUGAAGCUGCACGGCACUGUGAUGAACACUCUGUUCAGAAAGGACUCCACAGUUGAAGACACGGGCGGCCCCGGAAGACAAGCCAUGAGUGAAAGAGAGGCUUUUGACGCCAGAAACAUUUUAAAGAAAUUUGGCACAUACCAUUUUGGAGAGUUUGAGCUGAACACUGUUCUGCUGUCCCAGAGAUACUCGACAGAUUGUACGGGCUACUACACCUCUGCAGGAAGUGCCAGCUUCUCAUGAGCUUCAUCAGGGCUGAGCAGACUCUCAGUGACAUGAUUAAGGAUGCGCUGGGCAGAUGUCUUCACUAAUGAUGGUCAUGGAUGAGGAUUUCCCAUCAGAUGAUGAACACGAACGGACUCACAACAACGUCUCUUUGCAUCUUUGCUGAAUCUUGUUGAAAUCAGUUGGAAAAUGAACAUUUGUUUGGGUUGUGUUUUUCUUUCAUGGUGACAGGAGGUGCUACAUUUUAACAUUCUGCUUAAAUCUGGCGAGGAUGAAUAAAUAAAUGUGUAAAGCA